UAACAGUACAACAUGCAAAUGAUAUCAUUUGUGCACUCACGAUGGUAAUCUUUUAUAGUUCAUGACCGGGCAGUCACGACAGAGAAUCGAGAGAAUGCUCGACGAUGCACGACCACACGGCCACCACUCAGAGAGCUGCCAGUAAUGGAAAAUCAGCUGGACCCAACCAGCCAGAGUACAAGAUCCCCCUCCUAUUUGGAUCGUGUCCGUAGGGACUACCCAGCCCCACAAUACAACAGACGGACCCCAAUAAGAGGUGUGCAACGGCACAAUGAUAUGACAGCUGCAUAUCUUGAGUCACGGUCGCAGCGGG
rnacentral:lncRNA from 1 species